AGGGUACACUCUGAAGAAACUUGCGCCCACUUGUUUCUUUCUUUUCUCUUAUUUUCUUUUCUUUUCUCACGCAAGAAAGCUCUCUCAUGCCACCCUUUUUUCUCUGAUGUUUUCAGUGCAUGCCCUAUCUUAUCUCCCUUUUAAAAUGAUGCAAGACCAUAUCUUUGCAGCAUUUUUACCGCAUGAGAGGAUAAAGAUAAGUGGUUGCUCAUUUGAAUUCAAAUCAAAUUUGAAUUCAAAUGCCAACCAACUCAUUCCUAUCCACUCUAUGCAUGAGAAGAGAGGGGCGUGGGCUCUCUUGUGCAUGGAGAGUUUACAUGAGAAACUCUUUUUCGUGUAAAGUAAAUGGCACACAAAAGGAUAAGACUAGGUGGCUCAUGGAUUAGUUGCCCAUUCAAAUUCAAACUUCAUUUGAAUUUGAAUGGCCAACCAACCAUCUUUAUCCACCC
rnacentral:lncRNA from 1 species